rnacentral:rRNA from 1 species
UACGUAGGUGGCAAGCGUUGUCCGGAUUUACUGGGCGUAAAGAGCGCGCAGGCGGUCAGAUAAGUCGAAUGUGAAAGCCCCCGGCUCAACUGGGGAGGGUCAUUCGAUACUGUUCGACUCGAAGGCAGGAGAGGGAAGCGGAAUUCCCGGUGUAGUGGUGAAAUGCGUAGAUAUCGGGAGGAACACCAGUGGCGAAGGCGGCUCCUGGACCAGUACCGACGUCAGGCACGAAAGCGUGGGGAGCAAACAGGA